UGAAAGCAAAGGCAAAGAAGUUUGUCCAAGCUGGCCGGUUGGUCGUACCGGAAUAAUCCGCAGGUGUUGCAGGACUAGGGCGCGCAGCUGCUGCAGCCACAGCAUGUUGAAACUACCAGAGAUUAUAGUAGAGUAGAAUGGAAAGUAUAGAUGUUAUGUUGGUAAGAUGACCGAAGCGAGUAACAAUCUAGAAAGAAACAGCGACUGCUGAAGCCGCCUGGUCGGCAUAUAUAGCUAGAUUCCCAUGGCUGAUGAUAGAUAUUUGAUCUGGUUUUGCUUUGCUUAGCUGCUGAAGAUAUGGUGUAGAAGUCUUGAUUUUCAUGAAGCAGGUGUCAUUCUGAAAUGAUAUGCUGCUCUGGUUUUCUCCUUGUUGAUUUUGCACCUUCUCGAAGAAUUUGAGAAGGUGCAAAGAGAGAGGUUUGUUCAUAGUAUCAGUGUGCUUCAGCAAUAAUUGGAAGAAGCUGGUGUAGAGAUCAGUUUAUAACUUCUUAUCAGGUUUCCUUAUCAGAGUACCGAGUUGUAAUCAUACUUGACUUUUGUUGAGGGAAAACUUCAACUAAGUUGGCUUAUUAUGAAACGUUUCGGAAUGUCGCAUAGAACCAUUGUUGGUCAAGCUAUGAAAUGGUGUAUCCCUUUAAUGCAGUGUCAGUGUUUCGCAUUACAGUAAGGCAGUAAUCUUUUAAGGAUGUAUACUGCAG
rnacentral:lncRNA from 1 species